rnacentral:rRNA from 1 species
UACGUAGGAGACGAGCGUUGUCCGGAAUCACUGGGCGUAAAGCGCGUGUAGGCGGAUCGGCAAGUCUGCUGUGAAAGCUCCUGGCUUAACCGGGAGUGGUCGGUGGAAACUGCCAGUCUGGAGGACGGUAGAGGUAGGUAGAAUUCCCGGUGGUAGUGGUGAAAUGCGUAGAGAUCGGGAGGAAUACCUGUGGCGAAGGCGGCCUACUGGGCCGGACCUGACGCUGAGACGCGAAGGCGUGGGGAGCGAACGG